rnacentral:rRNA from 1 species
UAGCGGCGCGCUUAACACAUGCAAGUCGCACGAGAAAGGGCUUCGGCCCCGGUAAAGUGGCGCACGGGUGCGUAACACGUAGGCAAUCUUCCCUUGAGCGGGGGAUAACGUUUCGAAAGAGACGCUAAUACCGCAUAAGACCACGUCCAGUUCGCUGGAUGCGGUCAAAGCUGGCCUCUUCUUGAAAGCUAGCACUUAAGGACGAGCCUGCGGCCCAUCAUGCUAGUUGGUAGUGUAACGGACUACCAAGGCGAAGACGGGUAGCUGGUCUGAGAGGAUGAUCAGCCACACUGGAACUGAAACACGGUCCAGACUCCUACGGGAGGCAGCAGUGGGGAAUAUUGGACAAUGGGCGAAAGCCUGAUCCAGCGACGCCGCGUGAGUGAUGAAGGCCUUCGGGUUGUAAAGCUCUGUUGAGGGAGAAGAAAACAGUUAGGUCGAAUAGCCCUAGCUCUUGACGGUAUCCCUUUAGAAAGCACCGGCUAACUCUGUGCCAGCAGCCGCGGUAAGACAGAGGGUGCAAACGUUGCUCGGAAUUACUGGGCGUAAAGCGCGUGUAGGCGGACCUGUAAGUUGGACGUGAAAGCCCUGGGCUCAACCCAGGAAUUGCAUCCAAAACUACAGGCCUAGAGUGAUGGAGAGGGUAGCAGAAUUCCUGGUGUAGAGGUGAAAUUCGUAGAUAUCAGGAGGAACACCGGUGGCGAAGGCGGCUACCUGGACAUCAACUGACGCUGAGACGCGAAAGCGUGGGGAGCAAAACAGGAUUAGAUACCCUGGUAGUCCACGCCGUAAACGAUGAGUGCUGGGUGUCGUGGGUUUUGACCGCCGCGGUGCCGUAGCUAACGCGUUAAGCACUCCGCCUGGGGAGUACGGCCGCAAGGCUAAAACUCAAAGGAAUU